CACGUAGGGUGCGAGCGUUGUCCGGAAUUAUUGGGCGUAAAGAGCUCGUAGGCGGUGUGUCGCGUCGGCCGUGAAAACCUGCAGCUUAACUGUGGGCUUGCGGUCGAUACGGGCAUCACUGGAGUUCGGCAGGGGAGACUGGAAUUCCUGGUGUAGCGGUGAAAUGCGCAGAUAUUAGGAGGAACACCGGUGGCGAAGGCGGGUCUCUGGGCAACAACUGACGCUGAGGAGCGAAAGCGUGGGGAGCGAACAGG
rnacentral:rRNA from 1 species